rnacentral:rRNA from 1 species
UACGUAGGGUGCGAGCGUUAAUCGGAAUUACUGGGCGUAAAGCGCGCGUAGGUGGAUGUGUGUGUUGGAUGUGAAAGCCCCCGGGCUUAACCUGGGAAUUGCAUACAAAACUGCACAUCUAGAGUAGAGCAGAGGUGAGUGGAAUUUCCGGAGUAGCGGUGAAAUGCGUAGAUACCGGAAGGAACACCAGUGGCGAAGGCAAUCCCCUGGACCUGUACUGACGCUCAUGGCACGAAAGCGUGGGGAGCAAACAGG